rnacentral:rRNA from 1 species
UACGGGGGGAGCAAGCGUUGUUCGGAUUUACUGGGCGUAAAGGGCGCGUAGGCGGUCGUGACAAGUCACUUGUGAAAUCUCCGGGCUUAACUCGGAACGGUCAAGUGAUACUGUCGGACUAGAGUACAGAAGGGGCAACUGGAAUUCUCGGGUGUAGCGGUGAAAUGCGUAGAUAUCGAGAGGAACACCUGCGGCGAAGGCGGGUUGCUGGGCCGAUACUGACGCUGAGGAGCGAAAGCGUGGGGAGCGAACAGG